rnacentral:rRNA from 1 species
GAUGAACGCUGGCGGCGUGCCUAAUACAUGCAAGUCGAGCGAACGGACGAGAAGCUUGCUUCUCUGAUGUUAGCGGCGGACGGGUGAGUAACACGUGGAUAACCUACCUAUAAGACUGGGAUAACUUCGGGAAACCGGAGCUAAUACCGGAUGAUAUUUUGAACCGCAUGGUUCAAAAGUGAAAGACGGUCUUGCUGUCACUUAUAGAGGGAUCCGCGCUGCAUUAGCUAGUUGGUAAGGUAACGGCUCACCAAGGCAAGGAUGCAUAGCCGACCUGAGAGGGUGAUCGGCCACACUGGAACUGAGACACGGUCCAGACUCCUACGGGAGGCAGCAGUAGGGAAUCUUCCGCAAUGGGCGAAAGCCUGACGGAGCAACGCCGCGUGAGUGAUGAAGGUCUUCGGAUCGUAAAACUCUGUUAUUAGGGAAGAACAUAUGUGUAAGUAACUGUGCACAUCUUGACGGUACCUAAUCAGAAAGCCACGGCUAACUACGUG